AAGCCAGCUGCCAUGUCAUGAGGACACUCCAGUGGCCCUAUGGAGGGGUCCUGCAAGUAAGGACCAGAGGCCUCCCUGUCAACCUGCCAGCAGGUGUGAGCCAUCUUGGAAGCAGAUUCUCCAGCCCAGAUCUUCAGAUGACCACAGGCCCAGGUGACCUCCUGACUGCAACCCCAAGCCACAACCAUGCAAUGAGCCACUCCCUCUUUCCUGCCUACCAUAAACUGUGUGAGAGAAUAAACUGUGAGUGUAUUGUCACUUUGGGCUAUUUAACUGAGCAGAAAUCUGUUAUGCUGCAAUAGAUAAUCAACCCUUCAGCUUUGGAGCCAUCUAGGAAGGUUUAGGGACCAGCAUGGCUUUGGGAGGAGC
rnacentral:lncRNA from 1 species